rnacentral:rRNA from 1 species
UACGAAGGGGGCUAGCGUUGCUCGGAAUCACUGGGCGUAAAGCGUGUGUAGGCGGCUUCGUAAGUCGGAUGUGAAAGCCCUGGGCUCAACCCAGGAAGUGCACUCGAUACUGCGGAGCUUGAGUCUCGGAGAGGUUGGUGGAAUUCUCGGUGUAGAGGUGAAAUUCGUAGAUAUCGAGAGGAACACCGGUGGCGAAGGCGGCCAACUGGCCCGGUACUGACGCUGAGGUGCGAAAGCGUGGGGAGCAAACAGG